AUAUUUCCAACUCCCUACCCUCUCACUUAUUCAAUAAACAAAUGAAAGGCAGCAUUUUUUCAAACUUUAUUUACUCUUGAGUCCUUUUUAGAUCGUGUUUAUCAAUAGAAACUGUUAAUAAAUUGGUUUAAAUUAAAUUAUAUUGUGAUGGCUCAAAUGCAUAAAAAAUCGGAACCAAAUGUGGUUGUAAAGAUGUGUAACAAGGUCAAGCUACUCUAUACUGAUCCAUUCUUAUGGCAAGUUGUUAAAAGUUGGUCUCUUUUCUCUGGUGGAGUAUAUUUAGCAAGGGCUCUUGGGCCAGUUAUCUCGGACAACAUGGAACCUGUUUAACUAAAUGAUUAUAUUUCACUAAGGACAAAUUUCAUUCAAUAGAAAUGUCAUCUGGUCAAUAUUAACAAAUUUUAGUUGAUUUUUAUAUUCAUAGGAAUAUAAUGUCAACUUCUGAUCAUUUUGUAACUAGUGCUAGAAGUUAAUUUAGUUAUUAAAAGGUUUAUGCUCAAGA